UAUAUACUCCGUCCGUCUCAAAAUUCUUGUCUUAAGUUUGUUUAGAAAUGAUUAUAUCUAAAAUUCUAAAUACUAAAUCGUAACUAUAUACAUUCAUAUUUAGACAAUUCUAAGACAAGAAUUUUCGGACGGAGGGAGUAUACA
rfam:Hordeum vulgare subsp. vulgare, WGS project CAJW01000000 data, contig: morex_contig_61243